GAGUUCUAGAUCCAUUUCUUAUUCCGUUUCUUUUUAGAAGCGUGAAAGGGAUGAAUAUAACUGCCAAUGUGUCUCUUAAUUGAUUUUACAAAAAAACCAAGAUCGUCAAUCAGAAAUGCAGCAACGAAACAAACAACGCGGAGAACAAAUUCAACCACUACAAAAGCAAUUUAAUCAGAACCAAAUAAAUUCACUUCGAUGGCAUUUAUUCUCAUCAACGAAGUGCAAUCAUCUCAACUGGAUUUCCAUAAUCUCAAUAAUCCAUUUAUCGAUAUCGAACAACAUUGGCAUUGCAGCAGCAAUAUGAAUACAGUUCAGUGGCUAAGAAAAAUUAAAUUCCUUCAAAUGCAUGCCGUUAACCUGUUAAUAAAUACAGGAUCGACAUUGAGGAUCAAAAAAGUGCAAAGAACGAAUCUAACGAAUCAGUAGGGACUUUUAACAACAUUAUAAAUAUCAGGAAAUUUAUGCAUUUACAUCGACUACAAAUCUGACCAGGAUUGUCGAUCAAUCCCCUAGCCAUUGUUUCUGUCAUGCUACAGGAAGAAGGAGAAACGGAGUGCAGUGGCUUCCUUCUGCGAAGAAGUAAUGUUGUGGAAAGAGGCAAUGGAAUGGAAGAGUGGAAAGGUAUUCCUCAGUGAAGAUGCCUUUCUUUGCUCCGGAGUAAUAAACAACAUCGAGCCGAAUCAUCAUGCCAAUCCGCAAAGAAGAUCCCCGUUAAUGAGUCUCACUAUCACUUUACGCAAUACUGUCAGCAAUCGAUUGAUUUCUUCUGAAAAAAUGCGCGAAGUGUUUCCGACAUAACUACUAGGAUUGCAUUGCUGAAACUUGUAAACGAUGUAACAGAAAACCAUAUGUUGUUACACAUAUCUCAGUAAACAGUGAAGAGGAAACAUUCCUGUCUACCGCAAUCAUUCAAAUCCACGAUAGCAAGGGAUAUCUAUUUACCAACUUUGGACUUCGGACUCACAAUCGCAUUUCAUAACAGAACGUUUCGCGAGAAGAUUGGAAGUAUCCAUAAGGUAUUAUUAAGAUCAAUAUUUCUAUCGCAAGAACGAGCAUCCAUUUGUGCAAACACACCACAUGUGAUCACACUCGAUUUCUAUUCAAUAUAGAAUCUCCAAUUUUAAAUAAUUCGUAUCAUGCAAUAGUGAAGAGAACAAGCUUAACAGAAAGACAAGCAGACCAAAGAGCUGCGGACAAUUUUUCACGCAUCCGCGAAAUCCUCAAACGACACUUUAUUAAAUGACGUGCUCCUAGUAAGUUCUACCAUACAAAAAGAGUUCUACUCCUUUCUGAUUGGUUUGCAAUCAUAUAUAUAUAUAUGUUCUGACUCUCAAUAUCGCUAAAAUAUGCUGAUUUAUUAGCAUGAUCGUAUGUAUCAAAAGAUCCUUUGACACAAGCAUCCUGAUCAAUCGUUAUAACACAUUCGUGUUGAAUACCAUGAUAUAUGUCAUUUCUAGUUAGCGAGUUGCAAAGACCAUUGCAUGAGCAGCACAAAAUUUCAUGUCGACGACAUGUUAAUCGAAACGAAUAUAUACGAAGCAACUCCGACAUUAAACGAAAUCGGGAGUCUAUGAAAGGGAGGAUUUCAACUUUGAUAAUGAAUGACAAAUGAUGAGUUAUUUAUUUCAUCGUUACAUGACACAUCGUAAAUGGAUGCUAUGCGACUGGAUAAUACAAUUAAGACAUUAAGUAUAUAUUGGAAUACCAGAAAGAACUUUCGCAUAUGCCAUCAAACAAUCAAUUUCCACAAAUCAACUUACAAUAUGUUUUUCAAAAUCGCAACAUUGUUUGACUUACUUGGCAUACUUGACUUACUCGAACCAAUUAUUAUCAACACUAAAUUAUUAAUAUAAACAUGGAAACUACAAAUAGAUUGAGACGAAUCUGCCGAGACUUAUAAUUAUUAUUCGAAUUCAAAAUUAUUCGAUAUAUCUUUUAACGAGAUUGCAUGUCGAUUUAAUUUCACGGAUUUUGCGAGCGAAAGGAUAUACAGUGCUUGUUUACAUGCGAAUAGUCAAUCAACAAGUAAUAUUGUCACUCAUUUAAUCUCAUCUAAAUCGCGAGUUGCUAUGCUAAAACCAAUAAGGCUACCGUGGCUGGAAUUAUUUGCUACGCAUUUACUUCUUCAAAUUAUAUAUAUCUCGUUAACGAGACAUUCGUUGAAUGUGAAAUCCGACAAAAUUCUUUUUUGGACAGACAAAAUUCACAUUAUACUGGUUCAAUUCGAUCAAAACGUUUGUUUCGCAUCACGUGACCGACAUACAAUCCGUAACCGGACAACAUGAAUGACACAUCGAUUCAAGCGAUAAUCCUGCCGACUUGAUAUCGUGUGGGAUGAUUAGACGAUAUCAGGAAAAAUGAUGUCUGAUUUUUCAGCUGCAAUCGAUAGCUGAAUUGCGAUCAAUACAUCAAUACAUUAUCUACGCGAUCUAUUAUACUCGACUUUUUCGAUAAAUUCUCUUCCUUCCAUUGCUUUAAGCGCUUUAACAAUAUAUAUUCUUCAGUUCGUGCGAAACAGCUUAAAGAAGGAACUGAGUUCUGUAGACUCUUAAUCAUCUCUUGAAUUGCACAAAGUUGAGAAGCGAAUUAUACUUACUUGCUCUUAAGUCGCUCAACAAGAAAUGUAUCACGAAAUACGAGAAUUCGAAGUAACAACUCACAUAGUUUUUUUCCUUGCCCUAGACAGAAAUAGCAAAGAAUAUCUAUUGUGUUUUCAUAUAACAAGAGACACGCCAUGUUAUUGUACAGAACACAUCAUCUGAUCAAAUUCGUUUGUAAACCUUCAUGUAGAUAAAGCACAAUCCACGUUGCUAUUUUUGGAUCAUUCACAAUAAAAAAUUGAUAAUACAUAAAUUAUGUGUCGUUGUGCCAAAUUCACCAUCGUUAAUUAUCGAAUGAACGAUCUCCCCAUAAAUCGCGUCAUCCAUUUCCAAUCAUUUUUACAAUCGGGAGUCGAUUUUUGCGGUCAUAAAGGAAAAAGUCCAUAGUAAUCGACAAAGGAUAAAGGUUUUUUAACCAUGUUCAUCUGUUGAGCCGUACAUAUCGAAGUCCAUACAUAUUCGAGGACAUUAACUACGGAUGCCUUUUUCGUUCGCGUUAUCCUUCGAAAGUUUAUUCACUAUUAGAAAAUAAAUUGAGGUUAUUUUCAAUUCACAUUCUCUCCCUCACAUUUUAAUGAUCUAAUCGUAUUAAAGCUUGCACAAUUCUUAAUUAGGCGAGACCUUAACGAAUAUUCCAGAUCAUUUAAAUUUCUUGUAAAUUUCGGAUGGACGAUUAAUAUCAUGGCAACACAUAUAAAAGUUAAAACAAUAUUUUUGGAAGUGUUGGCGCGCUGAGUAUCUCCAGGAACUAACCAUCCGUAAGAAAUAGCAUUUCAGGAUAACGAAAUUGUUCUCAAUUGAAAUCAGUUGUGAGAAAACAAUAUGUUACCCAUAUAGUGACUCGUUGACGCAUCGUCGCAGUAUACCUUGAAACAGACGGACGUAUAGUGGCGAUGAAAACAACGUGAAGUGAAUACAAACGAUCUCUAAAAAAUUAUUAUACUCUUAUCGAUGGAACAACAAUCAUAGCUUCAUAAGCACAAGGCAUAACAUCUUUUCCUUUAGAAGUCUUCGAUAUUGUGGAAGGGACAGAUAUAUCCCUGAUAUAUUUAUAUUUUUUGAUUGGUUUUUUCAAAAAAUCAAAAUCAUUAAUCAGGGAUCAGCAAGACAAGCGAACGAAACGAGUAAAAAAAAAAACAAAUUCACUGCGAAAGCAAAAUCAAGGAACAUUAUCACCCGCAAACUCACUUCAACGGCAUUUAUUUUUCAUCAACGAGCAACAAUCAUCUCAACGAGAUUCAGCAUUAUUAAGUUGAAACUGAAUUACUGGUAACACGAUAAUGUAUAAUCGGAAUGCCCUCGACAAACGAUACAGAAAUCUGGAGAUCUAUGUGGGUAUUUUAUUGAAUUCUGCGAUCGAUUCAUCUUUUAUUAAUUCAAAAUUUUUUUUUAUAUUGUCGUAAAAAUGUGUUGAUGUUCUAUUAUAUAUAAAAAAAAACAUGAUUUUAU